GAAACUCAGAUUUCCUUUGGUGGUAACCACUUGGCUGCACAAAACUACUGCAUGGCCAUGAAAGAUUACAAUGUAUAGGAAGCUUUAUAUAUUCUUUGAAGAAGGUAUCUUACUUGCUUGCCAAGGCAAGUCCUCUUAUAAAAGGGAGGCUUUAAAAGUCUGUCAAAGGAUACUACCAAGAGGGUGGAUUCAUUAUUUUAAAGCCCUUUCAGGGUCCUCCUACCAUUGCAUUCUUCAUGAACUUCUUUGGAUGGUGACUUGGAAGGUGCUGCUUCUUACUGGCCAAGUCUUAGAAUGUUCCUGCCCAGAAAAUGCCCACUUUGGAACAGAUAUAAUAUGUAAUACUCUGAUAUAG
rnacentral:lncRNA from 1 species